UUGUGAAUGCACAUGAAAUAAACUAUAUAUCACUACAAGAAAAUUGCCAUAUACCUAUGGUCACUUUUAAGAUAGUAGUUGAUGUCGUUGGUAUAGGUAUCAUUUACCUACAAAUAUGUACAAAAAACUGUAGGUAAAGGACUUAAGCGAAAAAAAUAAUUUUGCCCACAUUUGAGCUUGCAGAAACAUCCCUCGUCAUUUCUUUUUCAUUUGUCUUGUCAUUUCUCCCAAAUCAAAAUCUCUUCGUUUUUCAUUUUUACCCAAAUCAAAAAUUACAUUUGUUUCUUGUUUAUUUACAAACCCUAACAUCAUCAAAAUCUCUUCUGCUUCUACCAUUGUUUCACCCAAAAUAUAGAACCCCAAACUAAUCCUAAUCGAACCCUAAUCGAGCAAUAAUAGUGUGGGCUAAUCGAACCUUAAUCGAGCAAUAAUAGCAGUGGCUCUCGUGGAUGGUUAGUUGCGAAUCUGGUGGCAAUAUAGUAACGUGGGUGAUCGUUCGGUUGUGUUGGCUCUAACGGACACGAUGUGACCACGGCAUGUAUUUUACUUGUGAAGAGGUUGAACAUGAAACUUGAUAGAUGUUGUGGAACUUGUUUUGGAGGUUGACUCCUAUGCGAAUCUAUGUUACUUUGCUUUUGCUAAUCACUUGCUCACUGAAAUUAGAUUGAGUACCUAUUUAUGAAUGCUAUCUAGUUUCAUUGUAACUCUGAUAGAAUGAAAGUAACCACUUUUGAUUAAGGACUUUAGAGAUAACAUCAACCAAUGUAGUUCUGGAGACUGGGGAAUGAUUUGGUAAAUGAUUAGCUUCACUUGUGAUGGUCUGUAAGCCAAUAUUCAUAGUUCUUUUUUCCCUCUGUUGCAAUAUUAUUUUCCUAUGCAA